rnacentral:lncRNA from 1 species
UCGCAAGUGAGGUAAUCUUCACACAACCCAUGUAAUACAUAAGGGAAAGAGAUACAUAGUUGGCUUACAAUCGCCACUUCACACAAUUACAUGAAUAAGGCAUUACAACAUCCAAAUACAAUCAAUGUCCGACUAUGGAACCAAAAUAAAAGAAGACUACCCCAAAUGCUACACAGAUCCCCGAUCGUCCCGACUGGGCUCCACUACUGAUCAACUGGAAACGGAACAACACAAAGGACAAGAUCUUCAUCGAGCUCCUCCUUGAGCUUGGUUGCGUCAUCUGCACGAUUCAACGGCACCUGCAAGCUGGUUUUGAAAGUAUAUGUGAGUCACGGGGACUCAGCAAUCUCACACCCUCGCGAUCAAGACUAUUUAAGCUUAUGGGUAAGGUAAAGGUAUGAGGUGGAGCUGCAGCAAGCGACUAGCAUAUAUGGUGGCUAACAUAAGCAAGAGAGCGAGAAGAGAAGGCAAAGCACGAUCGAGAAACUAUGAUCAAGAAGUGAUCCUAGAACAACCUACGUCAAACAUUACUCCAACACCGUGUUCACUUCCCGGACUCCGCCGGAAAGAGACCAUCACGGUUACACACGCGGUUGAUGCAUUUUAAUUAAGGUCAACUUCAGAUUUUCUACAACCAAACAUUAACAAAUUCCCAUCUGCCCAUAACCGCGGGCACGGCUUUCGAAAGUUUAAAUCCCUGCAGGGGUGUCCCAACUUAGCCCAUCACAAGCUCUCACGGUCAACGAAGGAUAUUCCUUCUAGCGGGAAGACCCGAUCAGGCUCGGAUCCCAGUUACAAGACAUUUCGACAAUGGUAAAACAAGACCAGCAAAGCCACCCAGAUGUGCCGACAAAUCCCGAUAGGAGCUGCACAUAUCUCAUUCUCAGAGCACAUCGGAUAAGCAAGACGUCGAGUAAGCCAGCCUAGAGUUGCCCCUGGUAGCCUCGGACAUCGCUCAGUUGGACCAACACUUUGAGAAGCACUGACCCGGGGGGUGAAAUAAAGAUGACCCUCAGGAGCGCAACUCCCAAGGGAAAAGAAAAGGCUAGGUGGCGAAUGGUAAAACUAAUGUUGGGCAUUGCUGGAGGAGUUUUAUUCAAAACGAACUGUCAAGGGGUUCCCAUUAUAACCCAACCGCGUGAGGAACGCAAAAUCCGGGAACAUAACACCGAUAUGACGGAAACUAGGGCGGCAAGAGUGGAACAAAACACCAGGCAUAAGGCCGAGCCUUCCACCUUUUACCAAGUAUAUAGAUGCAUUAAUUAAAUAAGAGAUAUUGUGAUAUCCCAACAAAAACCCAUGUUUCAAACAUGGAACAAGCUCCAAACUUCAUCUGCAACUAACAACGCUAUAAGAGGGGCUGAGCAAAGCGGUAACCUAGCCAAACAACGGUUUGCUAGGGCAAGGUGGGUUAGAAGCUUGGUUUAACAAUAUGGGAGGCAUGAUAAGCAAGUGGUAGGUAUCGUAGCAUAGGCAUAGCAAAAGAGCGAGCAACUAGCAAGCAAAGAUAGAAGUUAUUUCGAGGGUAUGGUCAUCUUGCCUGAAAUCCCGCAAGGAAGAAGAACGAGUCGUGAAGAAGACAAACGAACGUAGUCGAACGGAUCCUCACAAACGCGACGUUAUCGGAACCAACCCGAAGAAGCAACACCGAAAAGAAGCACACAACAUAGUAAACAACUAUCACAUGAUCAUGGCAUGAUGCACAACAAAUAUGAUGCAUGUCCGAUUUAAUGAUACAUGGCAUGGCAUGGCAAAGUGCAACAAACAACACUACAGAUUAAGUGGAGCUCAAUAUGCAACGGAGUUGCAUAUUGAAGAAAACACCACAUGACUUAUUUAGUUCGAUCUCGUUUAUGUACUCAACAAUAUUAAAUGUUGUUAGCAUGGCAAGAGGUGAAGCAUAAUAAAAACUAUCUAUCUAGGCAAGUUUAAAUGAGGCCGGAACAACAAAACAACAAGUCCGGAAACUCCUCAUGUGCAUAUAUUAGGUUUGGUACUGAUCUGCCCUAACACAAUAUUUGAGUUGUUAAACAUGCAAGGCAAGUACACCAUGUUAAAUUAGGCAUUUUUCUACCCCAUUUACAUAUAAAGUUUAUUUAAAACCGAGCUACGGUUAUUAAGUUAUGAAUUAAAUCAUUUUAGCAAGUUAUUUAAGCAAAUUUAAAAAAACAGCAUUUUUAAACAUUUUAAACAUAGAUGAAAGUGGCAAAUUAUUAAUCUACACGAAAAUCUAAGCAAGUUUCAUAUAUUAAGUUUUUACAUGUGAUGCUUAGUUUGUGAGUUAAAGUAUGCAUGAAGUCUAGGGGGUUCUUUGUAAAACUAGCAGUUCUCUGAUAAUUAGCAAAAUCGUUCAGGAAAAAAAACAGGCACUCGGGCCGGAACUGAACAAGAAGCCCAACAAGGAAGGGAAAAAAAAGAGGGGCGCAGGGCAAACCACCAUGGGCCAAGGCCCGCUGGAUCUGGCCAAGAGGAGCUGGGUCUGGCGCGCGAGACAGGCCCAGGCGCGGUUCACCGAGCGGUCAACAGGCGCGGCGUGCGCUCGAACGGCUCGAGACAGAGGCGCCGUCCUCCUCUGCUCGACAGGAAGCAGGCGCGGCAGCGCUGAGGACUCCGGCGAGCGUGGGGCACAACGGGAUGGCGCGAGGAGGCGCCUGGGUCCAGAUCCUACUAGGGGAGGUGCGGAUCGGGUCUCCGAGUAGGGAAACGUGCUACCAGUCCAUGGCUGC